AGUGGCGGACGGGUGAGUAACGCGUGAGAAUCUGCCUUGGGGUCGGGGACAACCACUGGAAACGGUGGCUAAUACCGGAUAAGCCGAUUGGUGAAAGAUUUAUUGCCCGAAGAGGAGCUCGCGUCUGAUUAGCUAGUUGGUGAGGUAAGAGCUCACCAAGGCAGCGAUCAGUAGCUGGUCUGAGAGGACGAUCAGCCACACUGGGACUGAGACACGGCCCAGACUCCCACGGGAGGCAGCAGUGGGGAAUUUUCCGCAAUGGGCGAAAGCCUGACGGAGCAAGACCGCGUGAGGGAGGAAGGCUCUUGGGUUGUAAACCUCUUUUCUCAGGGAAGAAGCUCUGACGGUACCUGAGGAAUCAGCCUCGGCUAACUCCGUGCCAGCAGCCGCGGUAAUACGGAGGAGGCAAGCGUUAUCCGGAAUUAUUGGGCGUAAAGCGUCCGCAGGUGGCGAUUCAAGUCUGCUGUCAAAGCACGGGGCUUAACUCCGUAAAGGCAGUGGAAACUGAAUAGCUAGAGUGCCGUAGGGGUAGAGGGAAUUCCCGGUGUAGCGGUGAAAUGCGUAGAGAUCGGGAAGAACAUCGGUGGCGAAAGCGCUCUACUGGACGGCAACUGACACUCAGGGACGAAAGCUAGGGGAGCGAAUGGGAUUAGAUACCCC
rnacentral:rRNA from 1 species